CCGCGUUGUAAUUUGUAGAGGAUGCUUCGGCGAAGACUCCUGCCUAAGUCCCCUGGAACGGGGCGUCAUAGAGGGUGAGAAUCCCGUAUGUGGCGGGCAGUCUAAGCCAUGUGAAGCUCCUUCGACGAGUCGAGUUGUUUGGGAAUGCAGCUCUAAAUGGGAGGUAAAUUUCUUCUAAAGCUAAAUAUUGGCCAGAGACCGAUAGCGCACAAGUAGAGUGAUCGAAAGAUGAAAAGCACUUUGGAAAGAGAGUUAAAAAGUACGUGAAAUUGUUGAAAGGGAAGCGCUUGCAACCAGACUCGCUCGUAGUUGCUCAGCCGGCCUCUUGGCCGGUGUACUCUUCUACGAUCGGGCCAGCAUCAGUUCGGGCGGCAGGAUAA
rnacentral:rRNA from 3 species